UACAGAGGUCUCAAGCGUUGUUUCGGAUUCAUUGGGCGUAAAGGGUGCGUAGGCGGCGCGGUAAGUCGGGUGUGAAAUCUUGGAGCUUAACUCCGAAACUGCAUUCGAUACUGCCGUGCUUGAGGACUGGAGAGGAGACUGGAAUUUACGGUGUAGCGGUGAAAUGCGUAGAUAUCGUAAGGAAGACCAGUGGCGAAGGCGGGUCUCUGGACAGUUCCUGACGCUGAGGCACGAAGGCCCAGGGGAGCAAACGGG
rnacentral:rRNA from 1 species